AACGUAGGAGACAAACGUUAUCCGGAGUUACUGGGCGUAAAGGGUGCGUAGGCGGGCAGAUAAGUCAGUGGUGAAAUACCUGAGCUUAACUUGGGAACUGCCAUUGAUACUAUUUGUCUUGAAUGUUGUGGAGGUUAGCGGAAUAUGUCAUGUAGCGGUGAAAUGCUUAGAGAUGACAUAGAACACCUAUUGCGAAGGCAGCUAACUACGCAAAUAUUGACGCUGAGGCACGAAAGCGUGGGGAUCAAACAGG
rnacentral:rRNA from 1 species